rnacentral:rRNA from 1 species
AUUGAACGCUGGCGGCAUGCCUAACACAUGCAAGUCGAACGGCAGCACGGGAGCUUGCUCCUGGUGGCGAGUGGCGGACGGGUGAGUAAUGCAUAGGAAUCUGCCCAGUAGCGGGGGACAACUUGGGGAAACUCAAGCUAAUACCGCAUGCGCCCUACGGGGGAAAGCGGGGGACCUUCGGGCCUCGCACUAUUGGAUGAGCCUAUGUCAGAUUAGCUUGUUGGUGGGGUAACGGCCUACCAAGGCGACGAUCUGUAGCUGGUCUGAGAGGACGAUCAGCCACACUGGGACUGAGACACGGCCCAGACUCCUACGGGAGGCAGCAGUGGGGAAUAUUGCACAAUGGGCGAAAGCCUGAUGCAGCAAUGCCGCGUGUGUGAAGAAGGCCCUUGCGGGUUGUAAAAGCACUUUCAGUAGGGAGGAAACAGUAGCCGGUUAAUAUCCGGUUGCCUUAGACGUUACCUACAGAAGAAGCAACCGGUC